rnacentral:rRNA from 1 species
AUACGGAGGGGGCUAGCGUUGUUCGGAAUUACUGGGCGUAAAGGGCGCGUAGGCGGAUUGUCAAGUCAGAGGUGAAAGCCCUGGGCUCAACCCGGGAACUGCCUUUGAAACUAACGGUCUAGAGUCCGAGAGAGGAUGGCGGAAUUCCCAGUGUAGAGGUGAAAUUCGUAGAUAUUGGGAAGAACACCAGUGGCGAAGGCGGCCAUCUGGCUCGGUACUGACGCUGAGGCGCGAAAGCGUGGGGAGCAAACAGGAUUAGAAACCCGGGUAGUCC